UACGUAGGGGGCAAGCGUUAUCCGGAUUUACUGGGUGUAAAGGGAGCGUAGACGGCCAGACAAGUCUGAAGUGAAAAUCCAGCGCUUAACGUUGGAAGUGCUUUGGAAACUGCCGGGCUAGAGUGCAGGAGGGGCAGGCGGAAUUCCUAGUGUAGCGGUGAAAUGCGUAGAUAUUAGGAGGAACACCAGUGGCGAAGGCGGCCUGCUGGGCUGCAACUGACGUUGAGGCUCGAAGGCGUGGGGAGCAAACAGG
rnacentral:rRNA from 1 species